rnacentral:rRNA from 1 species
GAUGAACGCUGGCGGCGUGCCUAAUACAUGCAAGUCGAGCGAACGGACGAGAAGCUUGCUUCUCUGAUGUUAGCGGCGGACGGGUGAGUAACACGUGGAUAACCUACCUAUAAGACUGGGAUAACUUCGGGAAACCGGAGCUAAUACCGGAUAAUAUUUUGAACCGAAUGGUUCAAAAGUGAAAGACGGUCUUGCUGUCACUUAUAGAUGGAUCCGCGCUGCAUUAGCUAGUUGGUAAGGUAACGGCUUACCAAGGCAACGAUGCAUAGCCGACCUGAGAGGGUGAUCGGACACACUGGAACUGAGACACGGUCCAGACUCCUACGGGAGGCAGCAGUAGGGAAUCUUCCGCGAUGGGCGAAAGCCUGACGUAGCAACGCCGCGUGAGUGAUGAAGGUCUUCGGAUCGUAAAACUCUGUUAUUAGGGAAGAACAUAUGUGUAAGUAACUGUGCACAUCUUGACGGUACCUAAUCAGAAAGCCACGGCUAACUCCGUG